ensembl:miRNA
AUGUCCGCGGGUUCCCUAUCCCAGGUUGGUCGAGUUCACGGAUGCGGCACCUGCGGAUACGG